GGGUGUGGAAUAUUUUUUUGUAUGAUAAAAAAAUCCAUCUAACUUUUGAUUUGGAUUUCAACACCUUAGAUUAAUUAAGAUAAGAUCUCUUGGGCAUGAAGGAGAGGGUGUGCAUGGGAUAUGAAGUGGUUGUGCAACAAAAAUAAAAGGGGGCAUGAGUUUUGACGUGAAGGUGUGUGGCGACUUCUUUUGGACAUCAUCUCUUUUUCCCAACGCCUCUUCCUCCCUUCUCUACUUCAUCUCCAUGCCAAGAUCUGAUAGAGAUCAGAUCUAAGAAGAGAAAAGACAGAGCUGAAGAAAAGAACAAGGGUUCUUCUUCUCUUCAUGAUGAUUUGGUUCAGAUCCCGUCGGAUCUGUGUGAAAGAGUUCGCGCUACGAUCUCCUUCUUCAAAAUCUAGAAGAAGAGAUCCAGAUCCAAAGAUGACGAGUG
rnacentral:lncRNA from 1 species